rnacentral:lncRNA from 1 species
UCCCUCUCGAGUUCCUAGGAAACUUCAGUGGGAAUUUGAUCAGCUGAAUCUCUCGAGGACUUCUCUGGUGUCCUGGAGGGGAUUGGGCUUCUGCCGCCGGGAGGAGUAAGGCAUUUGGAUUUGGCUUUCAAAUCUCCUACCUGUUGGCACCAAGGAGGCUGGGAACACGGAGAAGAGGACCACCUACACCAGGACUUUUCCCCUUCUUGACAAGGCUAUCUGUUGGAGGAGAAGGUGUAUAUUUUUUGAACGUGGCUAGUGAUCGAAAUCGUUUUGCUGGACUAGGCAGAUCUGUCAUGAAGAUUUGAGGUAUCCAGUAGAAACUUACCAAAUGCUGAGUAACUGAAGCUGAAUGUGGAAAGGAAUUCUGUUUUAACUCAAAGGAACGGCAACUAGCAGGUAAGUUUCCUUCCUUUUAAGACCACUUCUUUCUCCUUAUCCCAAAUUCCAUCUAUGAACUAUUGGGGACAAGAUCUCCUGGGCAGAUUUAGGGGUACCAUUCUCUGCUCCUCUG